rnacentral:sRNA from 1 species
GCUGGGUGUGGUGGAGCACACCUGUAAUCCCAGCAACCUGGGAGGCUGAGGCAGGAAGAUCCUGAGUUAAUUGCCCCUG